GUACUGAAUCUUGACGGGGAAUUAGUGCGAAAUUCACUUGCUGUUCCUGCAACCGUAUAGUCGGAGUGCCGUCCAGUAUAGUCCGCUGUUGAGCGAUGGCCAGGAAAAGCCUAGUUCUGCAAUUUAAUU
rnacentral:ncRNA from 10 species